rnacentral:tRNA from 1 species
GCCGGUAUGAUGGAAUGGCAGACGUGCUGGACUCAAAAUCCAGUGGUGGCGACACCGUGUCGGUUCGACCCCGACUACCGGCACCA